rnacentral:lncRNA from 1 species
AGAGAGAGGAUAUUGCAGACUCCUGAAAGGAGGAGGGACUGCUGUUUUCGAUGUCAUUGAUUGUUGCCAUGGAGGGAAGGAAGCUAGAACAACUGGCCUAAUUAAAAUAAAACAUACAGCCAGCUGUGGUAGUGCGGUCCUGUAAUCUUGGCAUCGUGGCAGACUGAACCAGGAGGUUUAAGACACAGAGGCCAGCUUGGGCUACAUGGUAAGGCAUUGUUGCUAAAUAACAACAGGAAAAAAAACAAACAAACCAAGCAACCAAACAACUUGAGAAUAUUAAAUAUUGGGUUUGAAGAGGUGGCUCAGUGGGCAGAGUGCCUGCUGUGUAAGCAUGAAGACCUGAGUUUAUAACUCCAGCAAUCAUGGAAAAGCCAGGCGUGACAGUCUGUGUCUGUAACCUUGGUGCUGUGGAGAACAGGGUUGGUAGGACACAGGGAUCCCAGGGCUGGCUGGCUGGCCAUUUAGCCAAAUCAGUGAACUCGGAUUCAGCGAGAGACCUUGUCUUAAAACAUAAGGAGGAGGGUAAUGGAGGAAGAAUCCUGUGUCAACCUGUGGCCUCCACACCCAAGUGAGUUCACACACAUUGACUGUACACAUAUGCACACAUAAAAUACAAAGUACUGUAUGUGCUAACAUUGUAUAGACACAUAGCCAUCCGUCUUGAAGUCAAACCUCAGAUUUUCAGUCAGGCCUGGUUGCUCACCCUUUAAUGCCAGCACUCAGGAUGCAGAGGCAGAGGCAGAUGGCUCUCUGAAUUUGAGGUCAGCCUGGUUCAGAGUGAGUUCUAGAAGAUCUAGGGAUAUAUAGAGAAAAUUGUC